rnacentral:rRNA from 1 species
AGCAGUAGCCGCGGGAAUACGAAGGGUGCAAGCGUUACUCGGAAUUACUGGGCGUAAAGCGUGCGUAGGUGGUGGUUUAAGUCCGUUGUGAAAGCCCUGGGCUCAACCUGGGAAUUGCAGUGGAUACUGGGUCACUAGAGUGUGGUAGAGGAUAGUGGAAUUUCCGGUGUAGCAGUGAAAUGCGUAGAGAUCGGAAGGAACAUCUGUGGCGAAGGCGACUAUCUGGGCCAACACUGACACUGAGGUACGAAAGCAUGGGGAGCAAACAGGAUUAGAUACCCCGGUAGUCCCUGUCUCUUAUAC